AACCGAAAACAAUGAAAGCCCUGCCUCUCUUUCAUCCUUGCGGCUCCGAAGACCGCGCCAGUGUGAAUUGGGCUCAAAAA
rnacentral:sRNA from 1 species